CCUACGGGUGGCUGCAGUGAGGAAUAUUGGUCAAUGGCCGGAAGUCUGAACCAGCCAAGCCGCGUGCAGGCCGACGGUUCCAAGCAUUGUAAACUUCUUUUGUCAAGGGACAAAAUCAGGCUCGAGAGCCUGACCGAAGGUACUUUAAGAAAAAGCAUCGGCUAACUCCGUGCCAGCAGCCGCGGUAAUACGGAGGAUGCAAGCGUUAUCCGGAUUUAUUGGGUUUAAAGGGUGCGUAGGCGGACUGUUAAGUAAGAGGUAAAAGCCCGGGGUUCAACCCCGGAGAGCCGUUGAUACUGUCUGUCUAGAGAGGACGUGAGGUAUGCGGAAUG
rnacentral:rRNA from 1 species